rnacentral:lncRNA from 1 species
AACACGGGUCAUAUGUGUCUGCCUCUCUCAUCUCUGAAUUUCAGUUUUUUUUUUUAUGUUGUUAACAGUUUCUUUAUUUGUAGAACGGAGAACGGAGAAGGAAUGCGAGGGAGAGAGAGAGAGACAUCGCGACAUGACACGCGAUCGUCGGAAACCCGGCCCGUGGACUCUUGUACCCGAUUGAAUUAAAUCAAGACAAUUAUAAACACAGGUGUUAGAUGACGAUUAAUGUUACGAACGCGAUUUUAUGUCAUCUUUUAUGUGGGUGAGAGGUCAAAGCGCGAUAGGUAGUAUAAAAACGGUCGUGGGAGACUUUGUCGGGGUUGGACUAAAGAAGACGAGAAAAAUCGUCGGACUAAAAAGGGUCAGUAAAAGAAGACGUACUAGGGAAAGCGGACUAGAGCACUCGGAAUCGAAAUCAACUACGGAUAAAGAAGCCUACUUAGUGCCAA